GUGGUAAAAUGCGUAAAUAUAUGGAGGAACACCAUGAGCGAAGGCGGCUUGCUGGGUCUUAACUGACGCUGAGGCACGAAAGCGUGGGGAGCAAACAGGAUUAGAUACCCUGGUAGUCCACGCCGUAAACGAUGAGUACUAGACGUUGGGUUAAACCAGUGUCGAAGUUAACACAUUAAGUACUCCGCCUGAGUAGUACGUACGCAAGUAUGAAACUUAAAGGAAUUGACGGGACUCCGCACAAGCGGUGGAUCAUGUUGUUUAAUUCGAAGGUACCCGAAAAACCUCACCAGGUCUUGACAUGUUUCUGCAAAGCUGUAGAAAUACAGCGGAGGUUAUCAGUUGCACAGGUGGUGCAUGGUUGUCGUCAGCUCGUGUCGUGAGAUGUUGGGUUAAGUCCCGCAACGAGCGCAACCCUUGUUGUUAAUUGCCAUCAUUAAGUUGGGGACUUUAGCAAGACUGCCAGUGAUAAAUUGGAGGAAGGUGGGGACGACGUCAAAUCAUCAUGCCCCUUAUGACCUGGGCUACAAACGUGAUACAAUGGCUGUUACAAAGGGUAGCUGAAGCGCAAGCUUUUGGCAAAUCUCAAAAAAACAGUCUCAGUUCGGAUUGAAGUCUGCAACUCGACUUCAUGAAGUUGGAAUCGCUAGUAAUCGCGAAUCAGCAUGUCGCGGUGAAUACGUUCUCGGGGUUUGUACACACCGCCCGUCAAACCACGAAGGUUGGCAAUACCCAAAGCCGGUGGCCUAACUUGAGCAAUCAAGAGGGAUCCGUCUAAGGUAGGGUCGAUGAUUGGGGUUAAGUCGUAACAAGGUAUCCCUACCGGAAGGUGGGGAUGGAUCACCUCC
rnacentral:rRNA from 1 species